CCGGCAAUGAAAGUGCUUAACUGCAUUUUUUCUUACACAUGUGUUUUUCUUUUUUUGAAAACUUUGCUUUGGUAGGCCUUCUAUAUGGGGCCUGCCAGAGAUUAAACUCAACCAAAUUUUAUUUAAUGUCAACCGAUUAUUUAAUAGUCAAAACUUUCAACAACGGAUCUCUUGGUUCUCGCAUCGAUGAAGAACGCAGCGAAAUGCGAUAAGUAAUAUGAAUUGCAGAUAUUCGUGAAUCAUCGAAUCUUUGAACGCACAUUGCGCCCUUUGGUAUUCCAAAGGGCAUGCCUGUUUGAGCGUCAUUUCUCCCUCAAACCCUCGGGUUUGGUGUUGAGCGAUACGCUGGGUUUGCUUGAAAGAAAGGCGGAGUAUAAACUAAUGGAUAGGUUUUUUCCACUCAUUGGUACAAACUCCAAAACUUCUUCCAAAUUCGACCUCAAAUCAGGUAGGACUACCCGCUGAACUUAAGCAUAUCAAAGGCGGGGAGGGAA
rnacentral:rRNA from 1 species